rnacentral:rRNA from 1 species
UACGUAGGGGGCAAGCGUUGUCCGGAUUUAUUGGGCGUAAAGAGCUCGUAGGCGGCUCAGUAAGUCGGGUGUGAAACCUCCAGGCUCAACCUGGAGACGCCACCUGAUACUGCUGUGGCUAGAGUCCGGUAGGGGAGCGUGGAAUUCCUGGUGUAGCGGUGAAAUGCGCAGAUAUCAGGAGGAACACCAGCGGCGAAGGCGGCGCUCUGGGCCGGAACUGACGCUGAGGAGCGAAAGCGUGGGUAGCAAACAGG